GAUGAACGCUGACAGAAUGCUUAACACAUGCAAGUCAACUGUGGCGGACGGGUGAGUAACGCGUAAAGAACUUGCCCCCCAGAUAGGGACAACAUUAGGAAACGAAUGCUAAUACCUGAUACUGUGGGAGAGCUUUGCGUCCCAUUAGCUAGUUGGAGAGUUAACGGCUCACCAAGGCGAUGAUGGGUAGCCGGCCUGAGAGGGGGAUCGGCCACAAGGGGACCGGGACACGGCCCUUACUCCAGCGGGCGGCAGCCGUGGGGAAUAUUGGACAAAGGACCAAAGUCUGAUCCAGCAAUUCUGUGUGCAAGAUGAAGUUUUCGGAAUGAACAGUGCUUUGAGUUGGGAAGCAGUACCCACAGAAGAAGCGACGGCUAAAUACGUGCCAGCAGCCGCGGUAAUUC
rnacentral:rRNA from 1 species